GACGAACGCUGGCGGCGUGCCUAAUACAUGCAAGUAGGACGCAGUUGCGAACGGGUGAGUACUGCCUAGGUAACUGCCUAUUAGCGGGGGAUAACUAUUGGAAACGAUAGCUAAUACCGCAUACUAGUAGAUGGAUCUGCGUUGUAUUAGCUAGUAGGUAGGGUAAUGGCCACACUAGGCAACGAUACAUAGCCGACCUGAGAGGGUGAUCAGCCACACUGGGACUGAGAAACGGCCAGACUCCUACGGGAGGCAACAGUAGGGAAUCUUCGGAAAAGGGGGGAACCCUGACCGAGCCACGCCGCGGUGGGGAAGGAAGUUUUCGGAUCGUAAAGCUCUGUUGUUAAGGGAGCGGUACUUAAACAAAAAGGGAUGGCUAACUACGUGCCAGCAGCCGCGGUAAUAC
rnacentral:rRNA from 1 species